AUUAGUUUUUGCCAUUAUGUAACGCUAAAAUGUUAAGCCGGUUUUCCACUUGCGAAUUUCUUCGUGCGAAGCGAAUUUGCUAUUGUUUAAAUUGAAAAGAAUUGAAUAAAAAUCUAAUUAGUUCCAGCCGAGAGUUCGUAAGACAAAUGUUCGCGCGAACAAAUUCGCUAGUGGAAAAUAGGCAGAUCGAGUUGUGAAGUUGUGACGGAAAUUGUCGACUUUACUUCGGAAACUGUCGUUCAUGCCACAAGGCGAUGAUAUUAAAUGCCACAGAUAAGGUAUCUUUGCCUCACUUUGGAAAAUUACAGUUGGCAACGCUGGUAGAAGUACUCGAAGGAAUUUUUCACAGCAAACAGUAAGUUAAUUUUUGUUAUCUCAAUCGAUAUUAUGUUUAUAAUUUGUGAAUCUGUCAUUCAUAUUUAUAAAAACAUUGCUAUUCAUGUCUGCUGUGGACUCUGCCUCGUGUCAGAGAGAUUUUGAUCACGCUUCAUAUAUUAAGCUUUAUAAUCCUGUUUAUAAUCUAACGUGCUUGCACAGUUGUUGAAUUUUAAUAUACCAUUGUGCGGGUAAAUUAAAAAGCAAGCCCAUUGCUGGCAUUGUACUUCAACUGCCCUAUCAGCUUGCAGGCAUAAAACUAAAAUUAACACCGAAACCAGGCUGG